rnacentral:rRNA from 1 species
GACGAACGCUGGCGGCGUGCUUAACACAUGCAAGUCGAGCGAUGAAGCUCCUUCGGGAGUGGAUUAGCGGCGGACGGGUGAGUAACACGUGGGCAACCUGCCUUAUAGAGAGGAAUAGCCAUCCGAAAGGAUGAUUAAUACCUCAUAAUAUUGUAGUUUCGCAUGAAGCAACAAUCAAAGGAGCAAUCCACUAUAAGAUGGGCCCGCGGCGCAUUAGCUAGUUGGUGAGGUAACGGCUCACCAAGGCGACGAUGCGUAGCCGACCUGAGAGGGUGAUCGGCCACAUUGGGACUGAGACACGGCCCAGACUCCUACGGGAGGCAGCAGUGGGGAAUAUUGCACAAUGGGGGAAACCCUGAUGCAGAAACGCCGCGUGAGUGAUGACGGCCUUCGGGUUGUAAAGCUCUGUCUUCAGGGACGAUAAUGACGGUACCUGAGGAGGAAGCCACGGCUAACUACGUGCCAGCCGCCGCAAUAA